rnacentral:rRNA from 1 species
AUCUUCCGCAAUGGACGAACGUCUGACGGAGCAACGCCGCGUGAGUGAUGAAGGUUUUCGGAUCGUAAAACUCUGUCAUUGGGGAAGAAUAAAUGACGGUACCCAAUGAGGAAGCCCCGGCUAACUACGUGCCAGCAGCCGCGGUAAUACGUAGGUGGCAAGCGUUAUCCGGAAUUAUUGGGCGUAAAGCGCGCGCAGGUGGUUUCUUAAGUCUGAUGUGAAAGCCCACGGAUCAACCGUGGAGGGUCAUUGGAAACUGGGAGACUUGAGUGCAGAAGAGGAAAGUGGAAUUCCAUGUGUAGCGGUGAAAUGCGUAGAGAUAUGGAGGAACACCAGUGGCGAAGGCGACUCUCUGGUCUGUAACUGACGCUGAGGCGCGAAAGCGUGGGGAUCAAACA